GGAGCCUGCGGUUUAAUUGGAUCAACGCCGGAAAUCUCACGGGGCGACAGCAAUAUGAAGGUCAGGCUGAAGACCUUACCCGAUUAGCUGAGAGGUGGUGCAUGGCCGUCGUCAGUUCGUACUGUGAAGCAUCCUGUUAAGUCAGGCAACGAGCGAGACCCACGUCCACAGUUGCCAGCAUACCCUCCGGGGUGAUGGGUACACCGUGGAGACCGCCGCUGCUAAAGCGGAGGAAGGAGUGGGCAACGGUAGGUCAGUAUGCCCCGAAUCUCCCGGGCUACACGCGGGCUACAAUGGUUGGUACAAUGGGCAUCUACCCCGAAAGGGGAAGGAAAUCUCUUAAAGCCAAUCGUAGUUCGGAUUGAGGGCUGCAACUCGCCCUCAUGAAGCUGGAAUCCGUAGUAAUCGCGUUUCAACAGAACGCGGUGAAUACGUCCCUGCUCCUU
rnacentral:rRNA from 1 species